GCAGCCCUACUCUUGUGGAGCUGCCACAGGCAACUGGAUCUCUCCAAUAGCCCAGGGAACUUGGCUCGUUCCAAAUGCUCAUUCCCAGGCCUCUGCCAGCAAGAGAGUGAAACACUCACGUGCAGGACAUGGCAGGUGUAUCCAAAUGCUCUUGGACACCAUCCUGAACCAAAGAAGACACGGGAUCUCUGGACUAGGCUGACUCCCACUGGCCAAGGCCGUGGCCUGACGUGCUGCUCUGCUGUUGCUGCUUAGCUCAUUAAAGGUGCUGUUCCCCCCAAAAUCCCAUCUCUACCCCUCCUUCCCCACCAGACAGCCCUGAUUCCUUACACACCAAUGUUGGAGUUCUGGGAAUAGCAGGAAGUAGGAACAGCCUUACCUGGAACUGCUCCUGGCAGAAGACGGUCUGUAAUUGCAGCAUGAGGAUUGAGGACAGAAUACUGCCACUGUGAGGAAUCUCCUGUUUCUAAUUUUAUUUUCCUAUCUGUUCAUUAAUGUCAUGAAAAAUUAAAAAAGAAGUGUAGGGUGUUACAAAGUCCUGUCAUACAAAUGUGUCUUCUAAGUCAUAAAUUAAUGAUUUGUUUUCUCCAUCUGCUUUGCCUGAUACAAACAGGAACAGUCUGCUUUUGCUGAGAGUGGAAAUGCCUCUGUUGAAAUGAUCUUGUGGAAAUAGGAAGAUGCAAGAAGAAAAUGUUCAAGUAGUCUGUAAAGCCUGCACACUGCAACAAACAGAAGGAAAGUUCACAAAAGAAAAUAAGAGUUGGAGGAUAGUGAUUGAUCUGUAUCAUAUGCUGUCCUCAUGUGCUUUCUUUUGGGAGAAUAGCUGCUGUCCUUUGCCAUUCCUGAGCUGGCAUUACUCACCAAUCUCUGGGCAAGGAUUCCAAGCCAAACACCACAUCCAGUGGUUUCUGUCUGGAGAGGAUAUGAGUCUUCCACAUUCAGCUGUAGUGAAGAAGAUUAUAAUAAAAUAAAAAAGAAUAAAAGAUUGCGUUGUUACCACCUUCAAUAUUUCUGUUUCUCCUGAGAUAUGGAUUCUUCUUUGCCUGGUAUUAGCAUGCAGAGUUGAAGCAAAGGCUUAAUCUCUUCACAUUGCCUUCAGAAAAUCAAUUUGUUUUGCUAAAAUGAAACGGACAUACGGUGUCAAGGAACUCUAUUUGAGUGUGACUAGAGAUACUCAUGACUUCACCAAGGUGUCAAAAAGUGUUCCUACUGCCUGCAUUCUUCUGAAGGGAAUAAAGUAAUUUAGGAAGUGUCA
rnacentral:lncRNA from 1 species